rnacentral:rRNA from 1 species
GACGAACGCUGGCGGCGUGCCUAAUACAUGCAAGUCGAACGAACCGCGACUAGGUGCUUGCACUUGGUCAAGGUGAGUGGCGAACGGGUGAGUAACACGUGGGUAACCUACCUCAUAGUGGGGGAUAACAGUCGGAAACGACUGCUAAUACCGCAUAGGACAUAGGAUCACAUGAUCCAGUGAGGAAAGGUGGCGCAAGCUAUCGCUAAGAGAUGGACCCGCGGUGCAUUAGCUAGUUGGUAGGGUAAAGGCCUACCAAGGCGAUGAUGCAUAGCCGACCGGAGAGGGUGAUAGGCCACAUUGGGACGGAGACACGGCCCAAACUCCUACGGGAGGCAGCAGUAGGGAAUCUUCCGCAAUGGACGCAAGUCUGACGGAGCAACGCCGCGUGAGUGAAGAAGGUCUUCGGAUCGUAAAGCUCUGUUGUUAGAGAAGAACAGCGCAUAGAGUAACUGUUAUGCGUGUGACGGUAUCUAACCAGAAAGCAACGGCUAACUACGUG